rnacentral:lncRNA from 1 species
AGUCAGAUUGAUCGCCUCUUUGCAAGGCUAUAUUGUAGCAGUGUCUGGCCAGGGCUUGGUCUCCCCGGACCUCUCCGGUCCCCUGGUUGGUGGGGAACUUCAACUUCAAAUGGUAGGUCGAUACGAUGGCUCGGAGAGCAUUGAGGCCAGGUCGGCCGAGGAUUGCAUUAUAGGCGGAUGGCGCCUUCACCACCAAAAAAUUCACC